CACCCCUGGACCCCACCUUUUACAUGCAGUGUCCCAAACUGUGGACUGAAGAAGUGGGUCUACAUGAGUCAUGAUCUGACUGUACUGCAUUUAACAGAGACACAAAUAAGGAUGGCUUAAGGGAGAUGGAAGUCCACCUCUUCCUGAGAAAAAGAUUCUAAGGAAGAAGAUCUGUGGCUCCUGGAAUUCACCUCCUGCUUGAUUUCAAUGGCUGGACCCUGCCAUCUUCCAAGGACCAAGAUUCCCUCCAUUUUUGGGGGGCUUCACCAUCAGCCUAUUAAAACUAAGGGCAAAAAGAGACCCAAAGCUUG